ACAGAGAGGAGAUCGGGGAGCGAUGUCUACAAAUUUUCUGCUCAAACUCACCACCAGUGGCCGCCUCACCUCUCUCUCACCCAAAUCCUAAACCUCUCCUAUUCUCUCCUCCAAAGAAAACCCCAACCUCUCCUCUUCUCUCACCCUCAAUCUCUCCCUCUCCUCUCCUCUGUGAAUCACACUCUCUUCACCCACCACAAAACCAACAGCCCCAAAUUCCCGCAUUCGAGCUCUCAGCUGCUCUCCUCUCACCAAAGAGGAGAAAGCCCAAGGAGGAGGAGACGGAGCCCUUCCUGCUUCUGGGUCUAAAUUUGUUAAGGAUGAUGAGUACCCAAGUGGGGAAUUUGAGAAUGAUCAAGUUUAGUAGCUGGGAACGUUUCCUUGUCGAUCUCCGGAUGAUGUUUGCGGCUCCCAUGGGAGCGAGUUGAGGAGGGAAGCGUCCUGACCAUAUGGGUAUUAUAGGAAAGAUAUAUGGUCGGCUGGAGUGCGGACAAAUUUUUGAACUAGACCUAUUCCCCCAAAGAAUAAUCAAAAUAGACGUAGUCCCAUAAUAUUUAUCAAAGUAGACCUAGUUUCUGCCAUGUUGGCUGAAACUAGGUCGAUUUUGGUAAGUAUUUAGGGAACUAGGUAGAUUUUGGAAAAAAAAAUUCGUAUACUCUACGGGAUUGGGAAUGCCGGGGAUAAUUUGAUAAAUUUUUUGCAAGUAGGUCGAAAUUGAUAAUUUUAUCUUUGAAAUGGUCUAUUUCAAAAAAAAUUCCGCUUGAGUGAAGCUGUAGUUAUGAGUUGUCUCUACCUCGAAUUUGUCAGAAUUUUAUGGAAACAGUGUAUGAUCGACGUGUUUCUAGUAUAUAUAUCUUCAUGUAGAGAAGCUGGUCUGCGGUUGGGGACUAAUUGAAGAGAUAUGAAGACACUUUCUUGAUUUCAAGAAGUCAGAAUGUGGAGAGUGGUCAGACGCCUUUCUGCCUCUAAACCUGUGAUUGCAUCCAUGUAUGAUGCUGCUGCAAGUGGAGGAUACUACAUGGCCAUGGCAGCACAAACUAUUGUUGCUGAGAAGCUGACAUUGACUGGUUCGAUUGGAGUAGUUACAGGGAAAUUCAAUCUAGGUAAGCUGUAUGAAAGGAUCGGGUUUAACAAGGAGAUUAUAUCAAGAGGCAGAUAUACUGAGUUUCUCUCUGCUAGUCAGCGUUCAUUUAGGCCCCACGAAGCAGACCUGAGAAAUAUGCACAAAAUGCAUACAAAAAAUUCCGAGACAAAGCGGCGUAUUCAAGAUCCAUGACUAUAGAUCAAAUGGAGGAGGUUGCUCAAGGAAAGUUGUGGAGUGGCAAUGAUGCAGUUUCCAAUGGUCUAGUUGAUGCUAUUGCUGGACUUUCUCGAGCCGUGGCCAUUGCAAAGCAAAAAAGCUAAUAUAUCACAACCACCGUCCUGAUGCAUAAAAACUAGACUCCAGGAGCUUCAGCUGGGGAAAAUUUUUGAACAGCCAAAAUGAUGCAAGACAAAACGGAAGAUUAUUCACGCAAUUGGGAUUAGUCACUUAGGAUUCUAUUUUCAAGGACUCGUACUUUUUUUUAAACUUUUAGUUAGUAUAACUCGGAUUUAUUGUUUGGUUGUAUUCGUUAUUUAUUUAAUUUUAUUUAUUUGCAGUUCUAGAGAUAAGGUUGUACUUUCCAAUUUUUGGAGAGGAGAGAUGGAUGAUAAAAACUCAAGUAAUGUCACGUGCAUUGCAGCAAGUUUGACAUGUGAGUUGUUCGGGCAUGAGACCAAUAUUUGUUAAUGAUGAGUGCAAUUUCAACAUUUAUAUCCUUCGUUCUACUUUUUAUCUUCCUAAAUCGAAAUAAUGUCCCACAGCAGAUCUAUAUGCAUCUGAUCCCUAUCCCAGAGCACAACCUCUUUCAUUAUGUAAACCUACCAAUGUUACAAUUUACUCAUUGAAAUCAUGAUUUGUAUAAAUUUCUAUUGACAAAAAUCUAAGGCAAUAAUAUGGAAAGUUAUCCUUUCUCUAAAGAUAUCAAUUCCCAUUUUGGGAAGAACUUUU